GGAUCUCUAUCUGGGAAUCACUCCUCUUGGAGCCCUUCUGCGAGCCCAGGACACAGGCACGGCGUGCUUCGAAGUCCUCUCUGCCCCACAGCUGCCAGGCUGGAAGGAGACAGAACAUAGCCAGCAUCCCACAGCCCAAUUAGGAGCUGCUAUCCAGAAAUCAGGUGCCUCUGACCAUCACAAACGUUAUGGGACCACGGAGCUGCACUCACAGCUGCUGCCUCUCCCUCUGCCAGAGCUACGCCAGGAAAAACACAGCGAUGGGAACAUUGGAAUUGAGGUACUUUUUAUUGUAGUGUUCCAUAAACCCAAAGGGCACUUAAAAACAAACAGCACCCGCAAUAAAAGCAGACCAUAUAAACAGGGAAAAAUACGUUUAGGUCCUUCAGUAAUCAAUCAGUAAAAUGCACUCGAUUCUUAGGCCCCUUAAAACCAAGGUGAGCAGCCCUUACACCAGAGAAAGGCUUUACAUAGUAUUGCUGACCAAAGAUGGAGGUAUGAGGUUUGUGCCAUGUCUUCACAGCUGUGGAAUGGAAGCGUGGCUCAUCCAGGAGCGCUGCCUGCAGCAGCACCUGUCACCACAGGAGAUAACCCACAGCAUAAAGGCCUCAAUGGGCGAAGUGGUAACUGGCAAAGGACAGUACCAGUCGUAAGGCUUUGUCUCUAAGGAGACUUAUUAGCACACACUGCCAUUUUGUGUGCAGAGCCUCGAGAUGCACAUUCCUGCCAAAAGGAAUGCACAAAACCCACUGUAAAAGCUUCAUGAAAUCCAGACUGCAAGAGCGCAGUGCACAGCAUCACAGACCACAGCAAAGACACAGCAGUGCCCUCUCUGCUCCAAUGAGAUCCAUAAAAGCACAUCAGGCCUUCCUCAGCCUGUCCAGUGAUGACUACCAACAGCAGCAUCUGUGGUUUGGAACUGUUACACUGUUUGAAGGCACUACGGGCUUUCUGACUCUUUAAACCAGAAACAUCAGAAAGUUGUGGAAUAAAGCCUAGAAGACAAGUUUAUCCAUGAGGUAUUGGGAACCACUUCUUUCCAGAGAUCCACGGGGAAGAAGCAAAGCACUCCUCCGCCCUGCUGCUAUUUCAAGGCACGAGGAGCAGCAUCCAUUCCCAGCACUGCGGAGCUGAAGGCGCCGCUCAGAACUUCUGCAUCUCAGAGCCAUCUUUCACAGAAGAGGGUACAGAAAAUACCACCCGAAGUCCUCAGAGACUCCC